rnacentral:rRNA from 1 species
UACGUAGGGUGCAAGCGUUAAUCGGAAUUACUGGGUGUAAAGCGUGCGCAGGCGGUGAUGUAAGACAGUUGUGAAAUCCCCGGGCUCAACCUGGGAACUGCAUCUGUGACUGCAUCGCUGGAGUGCGGCAGAGGGGGAUGGAAUUCCGCGUGUAGCAGUGAAAUGCGUAGAGAUGCGGAGGAACACCGAUGGCGAAGGCAGCCCCCUGGGCUGACACUGACGCUCAGGCACGAAAGCGUGGGGAGCAAACAGG